UGGCUGCAGAGGCUUGAUCCCGACUCGACACUCUCAGCGCUUUCUCCGGACACUCCGCACUUAUCCCUGGAUAUUUCCACUGUCGUUUUAAAAGCAUCUCUGGAUUUCUCCACACGACUGCAGCCAGACUGCUCGCCACAUCGCUCGCUAUCUUUAUUUUUGCACUUUAAUGAAGCAGCUCGCAUCGUAUAAUUUCAUGUCAGUCUACCAGACAGUAACGUUAGCAGCUUCAAACUGCCCUCUUCUUCAUCUUGCACCGUAGAUGAGAAGCUAUUUCUGAUGACCAAUUUAUGCCACUGUAAUUGACAAACUGCCUCGCUGAUUUAAUGUAUUUUAUUCCUGUCUUUUCGAGGGUAUUUAUAUGUUAUGGAAAUGUCAUGUGCUGUUUUUCCAGCAUGCAUGCAUCUAUAAUCUCCAUCAGAGCCCAAAGCUCUGAGUCUGCAUAGAAAUUUCACAACAGUCCUUUUCCCUUUGCAUACUGAAUUUUGCGUUUAUUUUCGUUCUGCUGCCUUUUUUGGACUCUUUCAGCUGCGCAUUCAGUACAGUGUUACUUGGGUCUGUCUGUUUUUACGGGUACUUUUUUUUUUUCGGAAAAAAAUAAGCCUUUUAUACCGCUGUACAACAUGCAACACUUUUUUAAAGAAAGCUGCCAAAGCUCGACUUGUGAACAAAAAGGACAAUCCUGGAUUGUUUGGCCUCAAUUCUGCUGUACACCUGACUUCUUAAACAUCACAUGGUAAGGCCA
ensembl:lncRNA